UGUUAGUGGUGGGGACAUCACUCUAGCAGGUUGCAACUUGUUACUUUUAUAAAGAAAUGAAAAAGAAUAGAAAAUAGCCGAGUGCAUCGCACCUGGUGAGCCUGACUCCCGACUCACCCCACACUUGUCCAGCGCUUGCCUGCCUGAGAGCAGAAACCCUUCCCCUGCCCCACGGCUGACGUUGAAAGUGACUCCGGUCAUCUCAUGACUGAUGGGUACUAGUAUUUGCUUUGCAGGAUGACCGUGAACACUGGACAGCCCCGGAAAUCCAAGGAGACAGCUCAGCGAAGGGACUUCAGCAUCCUGAAGGCUGGAGCGAGGCGGGGGUGCACUUGACUCCGAUGUCCACUGACCGGCCACCCUGAGUGGUGACACGGCUCAUUACCAGCGGGUCUUCCUGCAGAGACGUGACUAGGCCCUAACGCCCCCGCGUGAGCACACUGGCUUGGCACGACUGGUUGCUUUUAACUAGGUUAUGAAACCAGGUGCCUGAUUCUCAGAGAACCAAUCAAAGCCAUCUCACACCUGCCAUGUGAAAACUCCCAAAUUACAAAGUAACCAGAGAUCAGUCUCCACGCAUGGGCUCUAAACUAGUGGUCUGUUUUGAGCAUGCAUGAGAACUACCAUGGGGGCUUGCUGACAAGCAGCCUUCUGGGCCCCAGACACGCAGAAGAAGGGAGGCGAGGCUCAGGAAGUUGCAUUUUAAACAAUCACUCAGCUUUUCUAGAAGCCCCACCUCUUUCGGCUGCUCUCAAGGAAUAUUUCAGAGAAGAAAGAUCACUGAAAAGAAAGGCCCAACUUCAGAAUGGUAUUAAUGCUACUGUCUCCUUUACAAAAGAAUUAGGCACAUGCUACAAUUUUGUGAUGAAGAGAUGGGAAGGAGAGGAGAGGAAGAAGAAAAAUAUUCUAUAAUAAAAAUAUAUGCAAAGGACUGUUUAGUGACAGAGCCUUCCAGAGGCCCAAGGAAAAUGCUGCCUCCAAGGAAGCAAUAGACCAUCUCGUUGAGGUUGGGUCACUGGGAAAACGUUCAGAGCCAUCCAGGGAGGGUCAGCUGUGAGAAGAAGCUGCCAGCAGAGGGGCUUUCUCUGGGUAUGUGGCACCACACACCUGUUUUGGGGAACACCUGCUAGAAGGUGACUCCUGAAGACGACGGUGCAGGUCUGUGAGGACCCAUUGGGACUUGGGAAGAAAACUCAUGGCGCACCUACAAUGAAAUGA